CACCCUUUGCCUGUCCUCAUUCCUCUGCUGAAUACUAGGUCUGACACAAUAUUUCUGGAAAAUGAAGGUGGACAUCAGAUGUUACAGGUCUGAGACAAGAUCUCUGGAAAAUGAAGGUGGACAUCAGAUGGUUCAAAAUGAUGUCCCUGACUCUUGAAAGCCAUCAAAUGCUCCACUGGUCUCAGAAGAUCAAGACACAUGAAGAAACUGGCUGACCAUGGUCUGCUGUAGAUGUUGCUUCAAUCCAUGGUGUGACCACAUGAGUAGAGGUGGUUUUCAUACUCUUGGAUCAUCACAAAAACAAGGCUGGAUUGAAACUGUCUGACCAGAAUGCCAUGUGAAGAAACAAGGCUGGAUUGAAACUGUCUUGACAGAACAAAAGGCCAAGUAAAGACAUGCGAACCCUGCUGACUGCAACAAAUCCAACGUCUUCAGCCUUGCAUUGUGAGAUGGUGUUACCAGCUGUGUGCACACAACAAUUGACACUUGGUUGUGAUCACUCAUGCUGGAGGUCAGUUUGAAAGUCAAAGAGGAGACUGAUCUUAAAGGAAAUGGCUGGAUCGCUCAGAACGACCUUUUUGGUAUUGGUGUCUGAAGUCCCUUGGCCCAGAAGAGUCGUUUCCACAAAUGUUGUUGGGGACCUGACACUGCAGACAACACAUGAAUGUCAACCUUUUUUUUGUCUGGCAAUAAAAAUGAAUGAAAUAAAA